CCGGCAACCGGCGCACGGGUGAGUAACACGUAUGCAACCUGCCCGUCUCAGGGGGAUAAUCGUCGGAAACGGCGUCUAAUACCCCGUAUGAAGCUGGACGGCAUCGUCUGGUUUUGAAAGAAUAUCGGAGACGGAUGGGCAUGCGGCGCAUUAGCUAGUUGGCGGGGUAACGGCCUACCAAGGCGACGAUGCGUAGGGGUUCUGAGAGGAAGGUCCCCCACACUGGUACUGAGACACGGACCAGACUCCUACGGAAGGCAGCAG
rnacentral:rRNA from 1 species